AAAAAGGACAGGUCUGGGUGCGGGGGGUGCUAGGCUUUCUAAUAUAGAAAGCCACCCCACUGCAUACUACACAGCUAUAAUUCCGUACGCUUGUAUGUUGAGUUGGAGCGUGUUUUAAACUGGACCGCAAAUUCCACCUGAAAAGACCUUUUGUGAACUGUACUGUCUCUGGCGGCUGGAAGUGUUUACUUACUUCUGUCAGCUUGAGUGACGUUAGUCUCUCAAGCCGUGGACACACCGCCAAACAUGUUCUUAAACACAAUACGUAAUUUUUUUGUCUGACCUUUUUCUUGUAUUUAAAUAUACAAA
rnacentral:misc_RNA from 1 species